UACGAGAACCCCAAGCGUUAUCCGGAAUCAUUGGGCGUAAAGGGCUCGUAGGUGGCCAACUAAGUCGGACGUGAAAUCCCUCAGCUUAACUGGGGAACUGCGUCCGAUACUGGAUGGCUUGAGUUUGGGAGAGGGAUGCGGAAUUCCAGGUGUAGCGGUGAAAUGCGUAGAUAUCUGGAGGAACACCGGUGGCGAAGGCGGCAUCCUGGACCAACACUGACACUGAGGAGCGAAAGCCAGGGGAGCAAACGGG
rnacentral:rRNA from 1 species